GACGAACGCUGGCGGCAUGCCUAAUACAUGCAAGUUGAACGAUGAUAUUCUCUGCUUGCAGAGAAUUGAAGAGUAGCGAACGGGUGAGUAACACGUGGGGAACCUGCCCAUGAGAGGGGGAUAACAUUCGGAAACGGAUGCUAAUACCGCAUAAUGCUUUGGACCGCCUGGUCCAGAGACGAAAGACGGCUUUUGCUAUCACUCAUGGAUGGCCCCGCGCCGUAUUAGCUAGUUGGUGAGGUAAUGGCUCACCAAAGCUGUGAUACGUAGCCGACCUGAGAGGGUGAUCGGCCACACUGGGACUGAGACACGGCCCAGACUCCUACAGGAGGCAGCAGUAGGGAAUCUUCCACAAUGGGCGAAAGCCUGAUGGAGCAAUGCCGCGUGAAUGAAGAAGGUCUUCGGAUCGUAAAGUUCUGUUAUUAGAGAAGAACAAGUCAAGGAGUAACUGUCUUGACUUUGACGGUACCUAACCAGAAAGUCACGGCUAACUACGUG
rnacentral:rRNA from 1 species